rnacentral:rRNA from 1 species
UACGUAGGGCGCAAGCGUUAUCCGGAAUUAUUGGGCGUAAAGAGCUCGUAGGCGGUUUGUCGCGUCUGCCGUGAAAGUCCGGGGCUCAACUCCGGAUCUGCGGUGGGUACGGGCAGACUAGAGUGAUGUAGGGGAGACUGGAAUUCCUGGUGUAGCGGUGAAAUGCGCAGAUAUCAGGAGGAACACCGAUGGCGAAGGCAGCACUCUGGGACGGUACUGACGCUGAGACGCGAAAGCGUGGGGAGCAAACAGGAUUGAGAUACCCGG